AGGAUCAUUUAAUAUAUUUCGUUCUUUAAUUACAUUUAUAUAUAUAUGAGUCGUAGUGUAUAAUGUAGCUAUAAAACUUAAAUUGUCAGUUUUUAAGAUAACAUAUAUAGAUAUAUAGGUAAAAUUAUAAUAUUCCAAGACAUCUUAUUAUAUCAAACAAGUUUUCGGACAAAUUUUUAUCUUAUAUUCAGCAGCGUCGCGUAAUAUGACAUUUCGUUACGUUUCUGGUAAACGGAUUUAUAUUUGUAAGUUUGUCCGCAGGGUAUUUAAAAAAAAGCAAAAAUAUAAUUCGAGCAUUGCCUGACGUGCAUUCGAAGAAUCAACUUUUAUCGGUAUCUAAAAAUCUAAGUGAAGAAAUAAUUAUCAAUUAAUUAAGCUUACAUUAUCUUGAAAUAAUGUUAUUGUAAUUUUUUUUUGGUUUCGACAUAAUCAUUUUUCACGCCAAUAUAUAACCGAUUAAGAUUAUUUUGUAAUCCAACUUUUAAGCUUAAUUACACACGUUAAUUGCAUCUCCACUUAAAUUUUUAUUAAGGAAAGAUUAAUACUAUGAAGAAAUAUAUCUAUCUUAAUCAAUUCUCUCAUAUCUUUAGGAAUAUCUAAAUAUGUAUGAUAUGGAAUAUUAUGAGAUUUAUUUUUUAACUAGAUUAACCAUGAGUUUACGUGUAAAAAUUUUCGAGAGAACUAUGAGUAAGAUUUAUGUAAUAUAAUUUGCAGUAAAAUCAAAAAAAAAAGAAAAAAAAAGAAAACUAACAGGAAUUCAUAUGUAGUAAUGCAACAACUUUCUCUGUGAUAGCAUGUUAAUUGUGACGGAUACAUAUAACAACAAAUGGUGGUACGUUUCUAAGUCUGGCCACUGUAAAAACACAUUUUCAAUGGUCACAUUCCAAGCAGUCAGAAAUAUAAAAUGUACUUAUCUAAAAUUGAGCACGUCCUUGUGAAUGAAAAAAUUAGAGACUAUGUGAAAAAAGAUUAACAUAUAUUAAAGAAUUGGAAUAUAUCCUUAUCUAUUCCUUAUACAUAAUAAAAAGUUACAUUUUUUAAAAGUUAUAUCAGAAUAAAAGCUUAAUUGAAAAAGUAUUAUUUAUUUGUGCAUAUUUACAAUGCACAUAUUUUUCUUGAGAUGAUAUUUCAUAUUUUUAAACGAAAGAUAUUUUUAAUUGUAUGCUUGGUAACCAUCAAUUCAAACGUAUCUCAAAUUUUGGAUGUCAUACUUGCUAUUUAUUAUCUUAAAAUAUACAUAUAUUACUAUGUAUACUUUAAUAUUAAAAAAAUAUAUACUAUUUAUAUCAUUAUAAUUAAUCUAAUAUGUCAAUUUUUCUACGACCUUUUAAUACAUAAUUUUUCAAUCACAGUAGAAUUUUACUCAAAUCAUCAAAAAUUGCAGUAAUCAGAUCAUAAAUGAAAUUUAGCGAUGAUUAUGUGACGAGGAAUAUCUAGUUAAUAAUCUAGCUUCGUUUAAGGUCCUUGCUUCAGUGAACCUUGGGUGAACCAAUUUACACCGAGGCCUGGCUUUGGUAUUACAAUAUCGUUGGCCACGGUAAAUGCAGCAUAUCAGACACUUUCUUUCAAACGGAAACUGGUGGCUACGUAAUCACAUCGCUACCAAGUCGUACGCCUAUGAAGCCAGGCUCAGCGACAUUUCCAUUCUUUGGGAUUUGCCGGAACUUUUUGACGAGGAUAGUCACAUAGCGAAGGAGAGGGAUACCUUGUUUUCCGUCAACCAUGGGUAUGAUGCGAAUUAUCUAUGGGAAUCAUGAACGUUUUCAGAACGAUUCAAAGAAUAAUACUGCACGAGAGAUGGAGCGAGAUAGUAUAUCGACGAUAUGUUGAACGUUUCCGGUCAUUUAAUGUCAACGGCAAUGACAACCAGCUUUACCGAGUUAAGUUUCUCUUUCCCUCGCACAACGUGUAUUCAUCAUCGCGAAAUUUGCACACUUUCAAACAAUUAACGUUAUCUCUAUGAAGCUAAACGUUUUUUUUUCAGAAUUUCGAUAAAAUUUAUAUAUAGAACAAUUAUGUCUCAUCUCUCUCGAAAUAAAGAGAUCUUAUAUCCUUCAAGUUCCGAUCAAACAUAAAAUAGGGAAUCCUUGACAGCUUUUAAUUUCAUUGAUUAGUAUUAAAUUAAGAAUUAAAUUUUAAUUUCUAAUGUCAUAAUAUUAAAUUAUAAUAGUAUACAGAGAUUUUAUAAGAGAUCUGAUUGUAAAAUUAUUAAAUUCUAAUUAAGAAAUAUCGAAAAUUUAUAUAAAAACAUAACACUAGCUGAUGAUACUACGAAAAAAAUUUUUCAUUAAUAUUCAUGAACAUUUUAUAGACAUCCAUAUGAGAAAAUUUCCAAAAAAUAAUUUAUAUAAAAGACAUUAUAUUUAAAGAAGGAUCACGAAAGAAGGACAGAAACAUUAGAACAUCUUUUAGAUAUCUGCACAUUUAGAUUUUAUUUAAACAAUAUUGUUUUUUCAUAUUAUUU